CUCUGCCUCCGUCUACCUCGCUCCGCCUGCUUGCAACUCCGGUGGACACUCCCAUCGUCGAUGCUGUCGUGCCCGGGUGCAGCCUCGCCGUAACGGUUCCAGCUCUGCUUCGGCUGGUUGUAGCAAAAACGAUUGCUACUUCCAGCAAAAUCAAAUAUGGUUUUAGCAAAAAAACAAAAUUGUAGCAAAAAUCAUGAUAGCGAUGACAACAUGUUCUCGAUUUGUAGCAAAAUAGAGAAGGGGUUCCAGCAAUAAAACAUGGUGCCACAUUCAUCGCCGCCGGAGCGCAUCUUCGCCUACUACAGAAAAAUCAAAUGCUGGUUCCAGCAAAAAUCAAAUACUGUUCCAGCCAAUAUCAUAUAUGAUUCCAGCAAAAAACAAAAUUGUAGCAAAAAAUGACGGCAACCUCCUCUCGAUUUGUAGCAAAAAAGAAAAAGGGUUCCAACAAAAAUCUUAAGUGAUUCCAACAAAAAUAAAACAUGGCGGGCACUGCCAUCGCAGCCCACCACCAUCUUCGCCUAAUGCAGCAAAGUCAAGAGCUGGUUCCAGCAAAAAUCGAUGUGGUUCCAGCAAAAAAUUGAUGUAGCAAAAGAAGUCAUAGCAGCGACGGCACCGCCAACCUAUCAAUUGCAGAAAAAUAAAAAAAGGUUCCAUAAAAAAAUUGAUGUAGCAAAAGAAGCCAUGGCAGCGACGGCACCACCAACCUAUCAAUUGCAGCAAAAUCAAAAAAAGGGCUUCAGCAAAAAAUGAAGUGGUUCCAGCAAAAAAUGAAGUGGUUCCAGCAACCCCUGGGAUAGUUGAUCUUAGCGCUCCCCGUCGCUCGCGAUUCCGCAGGCUUGCGGCAGCACCGUCCCGGCCGCGCGCAGCACAUAGUCUCCCCGCUCCUGCCGCGCGCCACCUGAACGACCAACACCAAGCACCGGUAGCGCCCCGCAUCCAGCCUUGCCGGUGGGUCAGCAGCGAGGAACUGGGUAUAGAGGAGGAGGACGGUGGAAGCAACGCAAUAGCUUUGUGGCAGCCAUGCCUCUGUGAGAGAUUGGGAGUGAGUGGUGGGGAAGGAACACCGAAGGAAAAGGA
rnacentral:lncRNA from 1 species